rnacentral:rRNA from 1 species
ACGAACGCUGGCGGCGUGCCUAACACAUGCAAGUCGAACGGGGUCGUUCUUGGUGGCAACACCUUGAACGGCCUAGUGGCGAACGGGUGAGUAACACGUGAGGAACCUGCCCCGAAGACCGGGAUAACAGAAGGAAACUUCUGCUAAUACCGGAUACCCCCACCGAAUCGCAUGGUUUGGUGAGGAAAUGGAUUCCGCUUCGGGAGGGCCUCGCGGCCUAUCAGCUAGUUGGUGGGGUAACGGCCUACCAAGGCAUCGACGGGUAGCUGGUCUGAGAGGACGAUCAGCCACACUGGGACUGAGACACGGCCCAGACUCCUACGGGAGGCAGCAGUGGGGAAUCUUGCGCAAUGGGCGAAAGCCUGACGCAGCAACGCCGCGUGCGGGAUGAAGGCCCUCGGGUUGUAAACCGCUUUCAGCAGGGACGAAGAUGACGGUACCUGCAGAAGAAGCCCCGGCCAACUACGU